rnacentral:rRNA from 1 species
UACGUAGGGGGCUAGCGUUGUCCGGAAUCAUUGGGCGUAAAGCGCGUGUAGGCGGUCCGGUAAGUCCGCUGUGAAAGUCGAGGGCUCAACCCUCGAAUGCCGGUGGAUACUGUCGGGCUUGAGUACGGGAGAGGCGAGUGGAAUUCCUGGUGUAGCGGUGAAAUGCGCAGAUAUCAGGAGGAACACCGGUGGCGAAGGCGGGUCUCUGGGCCGAUACUGACGCUGAGGUGCGAAAGCGUGGGGGAGCAAACAGG